rnacentral:rRNA from 1 species
GAAUAUUGGUCAAUGGGCGCAAGCCUGAACCAGCCAUGCCGCGUGCAGGAUGACGGCCCUAUGGGUUGUAAACUGCUUUUAUACGGGAAGAAACACCUCUUCGUGAAGAGGCUUUACGGUACCGUAAGAAUAAGGAUCGGCUAACUCCGUGCCAGCAGCCGCGGUAAUACGGAGGAUCCAAGCGUUAUCCGGAAUCAUUGGGUUUAAAGGGUCCGUAGGCGGCUUUGUAAGUCAGUGGUGAAAUCCGGCAGCUUAACUGUCGAACUGCCAUUGAUACUGCAGGGCUUGAAUUAUUGGGAAGUAACUAGAAUAUGUAGUGUAGCGGUGAAAUGCUUAGAUAUUACAUGGAAUACCGAUUGCGAAGGCAGGUUACUACCAAUACAUUGACGCUGAUGGACGAAAGCGUGGGGAGCGAACAG